CCUGUGGGAGUAAGGUGCCCCAGGUGUCUGUCAUCAGGGAACUUCCUGCUGGACCCUGGAUGGCAAGGCUACGAAUGUCUCCUGAGACCUGGCUUCAGGGAACUGGCAACUAGAACAGGAUGGGCCUUGGCAUCCUUGCGAAUCUCUGAGAAGUCCCCACUGGGGCUCUGUCCAAUCCCACAAUUCCCAAACUCUGGUACUGAGUCACAGCAGCUGUUGCCUGCGCGGUUCACUCCUGCACACCUGCCCAUCCAAGCCCAUACCCACUGUUGGCUUGAAGCCUGACUGUGCUUACCAUGUCAUCUUCCUGGGGCAGCUUUUCUGUGCACGGAUCCGUCGAUAAGGAAACUGAGAUGCUUAAAGGCUAAGUGACCUUGCAUGAACUCCAAGGAUUGGUUGGUUGCAGCACCUGACAAAACACUUGAAGUACCCAGAGUCCUUGACCAGACCUUCCCUUCAGCCAGGAGGCUUCAGCCUAAAGAACAGCAUUCUCCACCUCUUGCGGGGACAGUCCAGAUUGGAGAGACCAGCUUCCAGAUAUCCUAGCAGUCAGAAGUGGAUUGAAAAGAAACAAUCAUAGGAAAAGGAACAAAGAAAGCAU